GAGAACUUUAUCUCCAAAUAUGAGGAAUCUGAAAGAAGGAAAACUGAGAAGAAGCCAAAAAAAAAACUCUGCAACAGAAAUAUUUACUAUCAUAUUCAGAAAGCAUUGCAAGGAAAUUAAAAGGGAAUAGGGUCCUUCUAGCAACAAGUUUUACAAGGGAACAAGAAGAGGAAUAAAACCUCGAUUUAGUGUACAUGUACACAGCAAAAUUCACGCAGUGAAUAAAAGAAAGAGAAACUGCAGGUGAUGUUGGUGAGGAUUUUGAUAACUAGAGCGCUCGAGGUGACAAAUUCUGGUGAGCCCCGCAUUGCUUCGCGUGGGCUAGAAGUUAUUUGUUUUCUAUCUUACUUUUCUUUCAAAAACUCGUAGAGUCACUCUGUUAGUCAUUUUUAUUAGUCUCAUGAGUAUUCUCGUAAUAUUAAAGACUUGUGACUAGUAUUAGAUGUCCUUCUCGUACUUUAGAGAUGGUUUUAGUAUUAUUAUGUUAAAAAUGGUGGCCUGGGGAUGAUUGCGUUUUGUUGGGUUGAUAUUGGUUAUAUCUAUUGUUGAUUUUGAGAAUAGAAAAUUUUUGAAUUUUCUUAAAUACAGGGAAAACUCUCCCCGAUUUUUUGUAAAUUCAUGUUAAGGCUUGCUUUGGGAACCUACCCCUUAGUGCCGGUCAUAGCCUAAAUUGGGUCGUGACAUAUGGUGACUGUGUUCUUCCCUUUUUAUUCAAAUGCAUCAAAGAAGUAUUGUAAAGACAUAUGUUUUGGAUUAAUAUGAUUUUUCCUUAUAAUAUUUCCAGA